rnacentral:ribozyme from 1 species
GCUACUCGUAAUAAUAACCUCUCCGUGGUGAGAAGUAGGCAACGAUCUUAUGAUCGGCGAAGAUGUGAUA